CAGAGGGUGCGAGCGUUGUCCGGAAUCACUGGGCGUAAAGGGCGCGUAGGUGGCUUGUUAAGCGUGUGGUGAAAGCCUGGGGCUCAACCCCAGGUCUGCCGUGCGAACUGGCAAGCUUGAGCGUAGUAGAGGCAGGUGGAAUUUCGGGUGUAGCGGUGGAAUGCGUAGAUAUCCGAAAGAACACCGGUGGCGAAGGCGGCCUGCUGGGCUACUGCUGACACUGAUGCGCGACAGCGUGGGGGAGCAAACAGGAUUAGAUACCCUGGUAGUCCACGCCGUAAACGAUGGGUACUAGGCGUCUGGGGGAGCGACCCCCUGGGUGCCGGCGCUAACGCAUGAAGUACCCCGCCUGGGGAGUACGGCCGCAAGGCUG
rnacentral:rRNA from 1 species